UCUCCGUAGGUGAACCAGCGGAGGGAUCAUUACAGAGUUGCAAAGCUCCCAAACCAUUGUGAACGUUACCUAUCCCGUUGCUUCGGCGGGCGGCCCGGGCCCCGCGCCCGGCGCCCCCCGGCCCCCCGUGGGCGCCCGCCGGAGGUAAACCAAACCCUUGAAUUGCAUGGCCUCUCUGAGUCUUCUGUACUGAAUAAGUCAAAACUUUCAACAACGGAUCUCUUGGUUCUG
rnacentral:misc_RNA from 1 species